GGGGAAUUUUGGACAAUGGGCGAAAGCCUGAUCCAGCCAUGCCGCGUGAGUGAAGAAGGCCUUCGGGUUGUAAAGCUCUUUCGGCGGGGACGAAAAGGUCCGUGUUAACACCACGGAUCCAUGACGGUGCCCGCAGAAGCAGCACCGGCCAACUACGUGCCAGCAGCCGCGGUAAUACGUAGGGUGCAGGCGUUAAUCGGAAUUACUGGGCGUAAAGCGUGCGCAGGCGGUUUGCUAAGAGAGAUGUGAAAUCCCCGGGCUUAACCUGGGAACUGCGUUUCUAACUGGCAAGCUUGAGUGCGGCAGAGGGGGGUGGAAUUCCACGUGUAGCAGUGAAAUGCGUAGAGAUGUGGAGGAACACCGAUGGCGAAGGCAGCCCCCUGGGUCGACACUGACGCUCAUGCACGAAAGCGUGGGGAGCAAA
rnacentral:rRNA from 1 species